rnacentral:rRNA from 1 species
AUUGAACGCUGGCGGCAGGCCUAACACAUGCAAGUCGAACGGUAACAGGAAGCAGCUUGCUGCUUUGCUGACGAGUGGCGGACGGGUGAGUAAUGUCUGGGAAACUGCCUGAUGGAGGGGGAUAACUACUGGAAACGGUAGCUAAUACCGCAUAACGUCGCAAGACCAAAGAGGGGGACCUUCGGGCCUCUUGCCAUCGGAUGUGCCCAGAUGGGAUUAGCUAGUAGGUGGGGUAACGGCUCACCUAGGCGACGAUCCCUAGCUGGUCUGAGAGGAUGACCAGCCUCACUGGAACUGAGACACGAUCCAGACUCCUACGGGAGGCAGCAGUGGGGAAUAUUGCACAAUGGGCGCAAGCCUGAUGCAGCCAUGCCGCGUGUAUGAAGAAGGCCUUCGGGUUGUAAAGUACUUUCAGCGGGGAGGAAGGGAGUAAAGUUAAUACCUUUGCUCAUUGACGUUACCCGCAGAAGAAGCACCGGCUAACUCCGUG